AUUGAACGCUGGCGGCAUGCCUUACACAUGCAAGUCGAACGGCAGCACGGGUGCUUGCACCUGGUGGCGAGUGGCGAACGGGUGAGUAAUACAUCGGAACAUGUCCUGUAGUGGGGGAUAGCCCGGCGAAAGCCGGAUUAAUACCGCAUACGAUCUACGGAUGAAAGCGGGGGACCUUCGGGCCUCGCGCUAUAGGGUUGGCCGAUGGCUGAUUAGCUGGUUGGUGGGGUAAAGGCCUACCAAGGCGACGAUCAGUAGCUGGUCUGAGAGGACGACCAGCCACACUGGGACUGAGACACGGCCCAGACUCCUACGGGAGGCAGCAGUGGGGAAUUUUGGACAAUGGGCGAAAGCCUGAUCCAGCAAUGCCGCGUGUGUGAAGAAGGCCUUCGGGUUGUAAAGCACUUUUGUCCGGAAAGAAAUCCUUGGCCCUAAUACGGUCGGGGGAUGACGGUACCGGAAGAAUAAGCACCGGCUAACUACGUG
rnacentral:rRNA from 1 species